GGUUUAUUGAAGCCCUAAACUGUGUCGCACGGCUGUGCAAUACAAAAUAGUGGGACAAGUAAACGAGAGGAAAGUCCGAGCUACACAGGGCAGAGUGCCAGAUAACGUCUGGGCGGCGCGAGCCGACGACCAGUGCAACAGAGAGCAGACCGCCAUACUCUGUGUAUAUUUUUUAGAGAUGGUAAGGGUGAAAGGGUGCGGUAAGAGCGCACCGCGUGGGUGGCAACACUUCACGGCAGGGUAAACUCCACUCGUAGCAAGACCAAAUAGGAACUCAAUGGAUGGCCCGUCCAGAGUUCGGGUAGGUUGCUUGAGCAUAACAGCGAUGUUAUGCCUAGAGGAAUGAUUGUCCACG
rnacentral:RNase_P_RNA from 1 species